AGUCAGUAGAGACAGCUCAGUCGGCAGAGCAUGAGACUCUUAAUGUCAGGGUCCUGGGUUCAAGUCCCGCUUUGAGUA